rnacentral:rRNA from 1 species
GCAGGUGCGAAAGCAGGUCAUAGUGAUCCGGUGGUUCUGAAUGGAAGGGCCAUCGCUCAACGGAUAAAAGGUACUCCGGGGAUAACAGGCUGAUACCGCCCAAGAGUUCAUAUCGACGGCGGUGUUUGGCACCUCGAUGUCGGCUCAUCACAUCCUGGGGCUGAAGUAGGUCCCAAGGGUAUGGCUGUUCGCCAUUUAAAGUGGUACGCGAGCUGGGUUUAGAACGUCGUGAGACAGUUCGGUCCCUAUCUGCCGUGGGCGCUGGAGAACUGAGGGGGGCUGCUCCUAGUACGAGAGGACCGGAGUGGACGCAUCACUGGUGUUCGGGUUGUCAUGCCAAUGGCACUGCCCGGUAGCUAAAUGCGGAAGAGAUAAGUGCUGAAAGCAUCUAAGCACGAAACUUGCCCCGAGAUGAGUUCUCCCUGAGACUUUAAGUCUCCUGAAGGAACGUUGAAGACGACGACGUUGAUAGGCCGGGUGUGUAAGCGCAGCGAUGCGUUGAGCUAACCGGUACUAAUGAACCGUGAGGCUUAACCUUACAACGCCGAAG